rnacentral:rRNA from 1 species
AGAGUUUGAUCCUGGCUCAGGACGAACGCUGGCGGCGUGCCUAAUACAUGCAAGUCGAGCGAGCUUGCCUAGAUGAUUUUAGUGCUUGCACUAAAUGAAACUAGAUACAAGCGAGCGGCGGACGGGUGAGUAACACGUGGGUAACCUGCCCAAGAGACUGGGAUAACACCUGGAAACAGAUGCUAAUACCGGAUAACAACACUAGACGCAUGUCUAGAGUUUGAAAGAUGGUUCUGCUAUCACUCUUGGAUGGACCUGCGGUGCAUUAGCUAGUUGGUAAGGUAACGGCUUACCAAGGCAAUGAUGCAUAGCCGAGUUGAGAGACUGAUCGGCCACAAUGGAACUGAGACACGGUCCAUACUCCUACGGGAGGCAGCAGUAGGGAAUCUUCCACAAUGGGCGCAAGCCUGAUGGAGCAACACCGCGUGAGUGAAGAAGGGUUUCGGCUCGUAAAGCUCUGUUGUUGGAGAAGAACGUGCGUGAGAGUAACUGUUCACGCAGUGACGGUAUCCAACCAGAAAGUCACGGCUAACUACGUGCCAGCCGCCGCGGUAAUACGUAGGUGGCAAGCGUUUAUCCGGAUUUAUUGGGCGUAAAGCGAGCGCAGGCGGUUGCUUAGGUCUGAUGUGAAAGCCUUCGGCUUAACCGAAGAAGUGCAUCGGAAACCGGGCGACUUGAGUGCAGAAGAGGACAGUGGAACUCCAUGUGUAGCGGUGGAAUGCGUAGAUAUAUGGAAGAACACCAGUGGCGAAGGCGGCUCUCUGGUCUGCAACUGACGCUGAGGCUCGAAAGCAUGGGUAGCGAACAGGAUUAGAUACCCUGGUAGUCCAUGCCGUAAACGAUGAGU